CCCCGGCUCGGGUUGCUUCCCUCGCACAGUCCAGAAUCCCUAUGGAGCGAGCGUGUGUCGGUUCCAGAGCACACGCAGUGACGAAGGAAAAACAACAGAGUAGCGCUACUUCAUAAUGGCUAUCUAUAUCUUGGGAUGGCUUCGAGGAUUCUACAAUUUUCCUUCAAUGGACACACCCUAACACCCAUUUGAAAAGAACACAGAGGGAAAAUAAACAGCAAUGCCAUGCGAUACACAAACCUUCUCCUCGGCGGCGGCAUUGGAGCCUUUCCGGUGAUGAAAGUUGGCGGCGGUGGCGGUGGUGGAAUCUGUCCGGA